UGUUGUUGCUUGCCUCUCCGGUUGAGUGGGGGAUUUAUAGAGAGCGGGGGCGCAUGUGGAUGUGGAUGGUUUGUGUUGGGCAGCAGUUUAUUCAACUCCGUUAGCUAGAUAACACUCGUGGAAUAAAACAAUUGUGAAAAUACGAGAGCGAGUUUAAACUAAAGUGGUUAUAAAAUGCAAUGGCUUAAAAACGACGAUGCCACUGUGUUGCCGCUGCAGACUUGCGACGUGAGCCAUUGCUGCCGUCGUUGGUGGAGAACAUGGAAAAUGCAUUUGAUCAAUUGAGAAUGUCAAGAAACUCGUGUCUAAGAGUGCUGCAAUCGACUCUCGGACCGUCACAAAGGAAGCAAAGCAAAGCAGGUAGCCUUAAUAAAGACAAUUAGCUUAAUAAGCAAACAACAACUUGAAGCAGCAGUGGCAACAGUGGCAGAGCGCCAUUAAUUCAAUUAUCCAGGCAUUAUCCUCCUAGAGGAUUCAUUAAUGCUAAUUGAGUACACAGCCCCAGCACCCCACCCCAUAAAGGUGCUACACAGCAAGGAAAAAGGGGGGGGAAAUCGUUCCUACAAAAAGCAUCAAUAAAAUUGCAUUACUACUCAGGAAAUCAUGGCUUCCACAUGACGCGGCACAUCGAUGUGUUCUCGACUCGAGCUGCAAAGAAAAUGACCGAGAUGGAUACAGCUUACAUGUCCUGUGCAUGACGCAUUGAUACAUGUCCCGAGUCUUUCUGAAUUUUCGGGCUAUAUGAAUGUUAUUUCAAUUUUAAUUGGCAUCGAAUAUUAUAUAUUUUUUUCAGUGUAUCUGGCAAACAUACACAGAAACAUGAGCGCCAAACAUUUUGAUUUGCUUAAAUGUAUUUUGAGCUAUACACAAAUCGGUGCACUUAUUACUUUCGAUGGUAUUGGAGGG
rnacentral:sRNA from 1 species